AUUAUAUCAAAAAAAUAAAAAUAAAAACUGAUUUACCCUCUUUGAAUUUCAGCGUAGUGAUUUCAGCAGCCUGGGCAAUCCAUUUUCAUUUUAUCUCAAUAGUCUUUUUCCGUGAACCCUCAAUUCAAUUCGAAAUAAACUCGCCAAAUUGAAGCUGGAAUUCGAAUAUCUAUUCUACAUUAAGCAUAGUUCAAUUUUGAAUUGACCUACGAAUCGUGGUGGCAUUAAUUUAAACAAAUCCAGUACAAAGUUUGGACAGGAUUCCAAUCCGUAUUGAGAGAAGAACAUGAUAACUCGGUCGAAACUCGUAGAGCAACUCAGAGAUAACCAGAUCCGAUCCCAACACAAGUGCCUCGCCCUUACUGUAUUUUCUCCCAAACCUGCUAUUGCCUCCUGGUAAGCCCUACAUGCAUAUACAAACCUGAUUUUACAUACGAAGUUAUAUGCAUAUGUGUUUGUCUGUCGUUGUGUUUGCUUAUGUUGGUUCGUCAAUAUUGGAGAUUCUUACACUAAAUUAGCUAUUGUACACAUGGG
rnacentral:lncRNA from 1 species